UACGUAGGGUGCGAGCGUUGCCCGGAUUUAUUGGGCGUAAAGGGCGCGUAGGCGGUCACGCACGUCCGUUGUGAAAUCGCUCGGCUCAACUGGGCGGGGUCAGCGGAUACGGCGUGGCUGGAGCAAGCUAGGGGGCAAUGGAAUUCCCGGUGUAGUGGUGGAAUGCGUAGAUAUCGGGAGGAACACCAGUGGCGAAGGCGGUUGCCUGGAGCUUUGCUGACGCUGAUGCGCGAAAGCCAGGGGAGCAAACGGG
rnacentral:rRNA from 1 species